CCCCCAACCGCGGACAGCGCCUUCAGGCCAAUGUUGGUGGAAUUGACCGAUGCGAAAUCUCAGGAUGUGGAGGGCCUACUGUAUGGUUAUUAAAAAAAAAAAAAAAAUCGUGCAUAAUUGGACCCCAGCAGUUCAAAUCCGUGUUGUUCCAGGCCAGCUGUCCUCUGUACCUCUUCCUGGAUCUCUGGAGCUGCUGUGUCGAGAACCAAUGGACAGGGCCGCGGGCGGAGGCAGGGAGGACCAGGAGGCGAUUGCAGUAACCCAGAUGGGAUGACUGAAGUACAGCGAGGCCACCGUGUCUGUUUCCUGGGGUCUGCAGACAACAACGAGGAAACCUCAAAGCCAGCCUGCCAGGUGGGGGUAUCAGGCUGUGUGAGUGCCCAGCUCCAUCACUCCGGGUGACGCUGACAGAAAAUGGCUUGUUGAUCACAGCUGACAGGCACAUUAGGAAAAAGCCAGACAGGCAAU